rnacentral:rRNA from 1 species
AGCGAACGCUGGCGGCAGGCCUAACACAUGCAAGUCGAGCGCCCCGCAAGGGGAGCGGCAGACGGGAGAGUAACACGUGGGAACGUACCUUUCAGUUCGGAACAACCAAGGGAAACUUUGGCUAAUACCGGAUACGCCCGUAAGGGGAAAGAUUCAUCGCUGAAAGAUCGGCCCGCGUCUGAUUAGCUAGUUGGUGGGGUAAUGGCCCACCAAGGCGACGAUCAGUAGCUGGUCUGAGAGGAUGAUCAGCCUCACUGGGACUGAGACACGGCUCAGACUCCUACGGGAGGCAGCAGUGGGGAAUAUUGGACAAUGGGCGCAAGCCUGAUCCAGCCAUGCCGCGUGGAUGAUGAAGGCCUUAGGGUUGUAAAGUCCUUUUAACGGGGAAGAUAAUGACGGUACCGUAGAAUAAGCCCCGGCUAACUUCGUGCCAGCCGCCGCGGUAAAAC